rnacentral:sRNA from 1 species
AUGUACCACUCAUACACUCCGGUUUCUGCGCGCCGUCCGCGCCCACUUGGCGACUGCUCGCUACGUUUUUUAGCC